GCUUUCUGGGACAUGUAGUCGUAUGGCUCCCGAGGCCCCACCUUGAGGCAGCCCUUAAUUCUUUAGGUCUGCACGUCUCGUAUUCACAGUCCAGUGCUACUUUCGGCUCAGAAUUCAGCUGCGAGCUGUCAGGAGAGAUUGGCGUGCUGUCGGCUUCUCGUUCCCACAACGCUCUACAGGGCCUGCGGCGCCUGCUGGGAGCUGUAGUCCUAGCUCUGCGUACUGCGUUCGCCGAGGGGGAGGGCGGAGCUGCCGGCGGCCCGGGCGGGCUGGCAGCUAGAGUGGGUGCGAUAGCCGCCUCCGCCUCUGCCGCCUCCGCCGUCGCCUCCUCCGCCCGGGCUGUUCGCUGCUGCGCGGGGAGAGCGAGGCGGGGCCGCCGGGGCCGCCAUGGAGCCCGACUCGGUGAUUGAGGACAAGACCAUCGAGCUCAUGUUACCGAAGUGCAUGUUUGGGAUUUUGUUGAAGAAAGCUGGAUACAGUAAGCGGAAAGAAUCUUGGAAGCUGCUUGACUGCUGUCUUUUCUCAGACUAGUCUGAAAGGGAAUACCCCCAUUCAUUCUGGAUUGGUGGAUCUGAAGUACAAAAUAUUGUCCAGUGUUCUGUGCCAAGGUCUUUGUGGCUAGGCUGCGCCAACCUGGUAGAGAGCAUGUGCGCACUGAGUUGCCUGCAGAGCAUGCCCAGUGUCAGAUGUCUCCAG